GCGGAGGGCCGGACGGCCGCCUGGGGUGCGUGCAUCCCGGGAGGAAAGUCCGGACUCGCCAAAGCAUCGGUGCCGGGUAACGCCCGGGCAGGGUAACCUGACGGAUAGCGCCACAGAAAACAAACCGCCACGCCGCCUUGCGGUUUCGCCCGUGAGGGGACCGGCGCGGUAAGGGCGAAACGGUGGGGUAAGAGCCCACCGGGGGGAUGGCAACAUCGCCCGCAUGGCAAGCCCCACCGGGAGCAAUGCCUAAUAGGGACCUCGCGUCUGGCUGAUCGCCUUCGGGCGAUAUCGGGACAGGGCGGCUUUGGCCCGAGAGGUUCGGGUUGGCAGCUAGAGCCAUCCGGCAACGGAUGGCCCAGAGGAAUGGUCGUCUGAGGGCGGGGCAACCCGCCCGACAACAGAAUCCGGCUUACAGGCCCUCCGCGCAA
rnacentral:RNase_P_RNA from 1 species